rnacentral:rRNA from 1 species
CAGCAGCCGCGGGAAUACGUAGGUGGCAAGCGUUGUCCGGAAUUAUUGGGCGUAAAGGGCUCGCAGGCGGUUUCUUAAGUCUGAUAUGAAAGCCCCCGGCUCAACCGGGGAGGGUCAUUGGAAACUGGGAAACUUGAGCGCAGAAGAGGAGAGUGGAAUUCCACGUGUAGCGGUGAAAUGCGUAGAGAUGUGGAGGAACACCAGUGGCGAGGGCGACUCUCUGGUCUGUAACUGACGCUGAGGAGCGAAAGCGUGGGGAGCGAACAGGAUUAGAUACCCCUGUAGUCCCUGUCUCUUAUAC